rnacentral:rRNA from 1 species
GGACUACUGGGGUAUCUAAUCCUGUUUGCUCCCCACGCUUUCGCGCCUCAGCGUCAGAACCGGGCCAGAGAGCCGCCUUCGCCACCGGUGUUCUUCCCAAUAUCUACGAAUUUCACCUCUACACUGGGAAUUCCACUCUCCUCUCCCGGUCUCGAGCCCGCCCGUUUCAAGCGCACCUCCCGGGUUAAGCCCAGGGCUUUCACGCCUGACGCAACGAACCGCCUGCGCGCCCUUUACGCCCAGUAAUUCCGAACAACGCUAGCCCCCUCCGUAUUACCGCGGCUGCUGGCAC